GUAUUAUGUAGCUUAAUGGAAAAGUUUUGCGUCGGUACUUGUGAGAGUUAGUCGCUCACUACCCAAGAAAGGACUUUAUCGAGUAUCGAAUUAAAUAAACAGAUGCGACAAAAGGUUAUAGGUUCGAAUCCUAUCGUAAUCA
rnacentral:tRNA from 1 species